UUCUGAGAAGUCAAAUACACAUGAGUAAGAUGCAGUAUUGACUUUUAUGAAAUAUAAAAUUAGACCUUGGAAAUUCAUUUCCUUGUCUGUUCAGCGUUUCAUUUGUUUUAUUAGAUUACUGUUAAGUUUCACAUGGUGCUGGGGAUUGGUGUGAACAGACCAUACACCCAUCCCUCUGUGAGAUUAGAUUAAGUUUCUCAGUUACUGAGACAAAGGUUUAGGAGCUCACUCAAGAGGAGGUGGCUGCCUGGAGUGAGAGCAGACGUCUGUCUGUGGUGCAGACAGGUUGAACCUUGCUACCUCUGAGAAGACCCCAGUUUUCAUGCCCCCAGGGCUAACACACCCAUCUUCAAAUAAUUUACCCAAAUAAUUUCUGCGCUCACAUUUUAGGAACUUUCUAUGAAUUAAGUUCUCCGAGUUUUUACAGUAAGCUUAGGGUUAGCCUGUUAGCCUGUCAUGUCUUCGUUGCAGAAGAGACCACACAAUGCACAGUGUCCUGGGACUCAGCACGUCCUCCUUCCCCAGAUCACCUUACAUCAUCCCUGAAGUCCAUGCAAUACCCUUUUAUCUUGGGGGUCUAAAAACCAUACCAUGGUUGCAGCCCAUUUCCUCACAAUUCCUCUAAUGAUGAUUUGAGGUUUCAAGACAACGUGUGUUAUUGUAGUGUGGGCAACACAUUUGCAUGUAUAAUUUUUCAUGCCUUUUACAAAAAUUGUUUGACAUCCAAGAGGUACAUAGUUAACUUUUUCUUUUUAAAAUGUAUGAAUUGGAGUAUUUGUUUUGACUGUCUGUUAAAUAAUA
rnacentral:lncRNA from 10 species